rnacentral:rRNA from 1 species
GAGUUUGAUCGUGGCUCAGGAUGAACGCUAGCUACAGGCUUAACACAUGCAAGUCGAGGGGCAGCAUGAUUGAAGCUUGCUUCAAUCGAUGGCGACCGGCGCACGGGUGAGUAACACGUAUCCAACCUGCCGAUAACUCGGGGAUAGCCUUUCGAAAGAAAGAUUAAUACCCGAUAGUAUAGUAUUUCCGCAUGGUUUCACUAUUAAAGAAUUUCGGUUAUCGAUGGGGAUGCGUUCCAUUAGAUAGUUGGCGGGUAACGGCCCACCAAGUCAACGAUGGAUAGGGGUUCUGAGAGGAAGGUCCCCCCA